GCUAGGACCAGACAUUCAUACAUGAGUGAGAAAGAUUAGAUGAAAAGAGAUACCUUGUAGCCUGAAAAGAGCCAGUAGUAGGAAUUUUUACCCAUUCGAGGUGAAGUUCCCGUGAAAGUUAGACAAGAGUGAUUUUAGGGAGUGGGUUAGUUCUUUCUACCUUUCCUGAAGACUGGGGGUGGUAGAAAAUAUGAAAAUGUCAGGGCAUGUCUAAGGCUUUAGAUAGAAUUUGAGAAAAUUGGAAAGCAAACUCAGGACAACUGUCUGACUAGAGGAAGUCUGGGACACGAAAUCAGGGCAAUGAUCUCUCAGAGGAAGAGAUAAGAAACUGUCUGAGUCCUUCUGGUAGUUGUGGGAAAUGCCUCCACCCACCCAAAAAGAGGUCCACAAAGAUCAGAAGGUACUUGGCCUGUUUGACAGUGGGCACGUAGGUAAAGUCAAAUUGCCAGUUGGAUCCAGGACGAGAGCCUCUAGCCUGAUGGGUAGGAAAAGGGAUGCUAUGAUACCGGGAGUUGGAGUCUGACAUCUGACAGAUUUUGUAAGAGGCAGUGAUAGAUUUUAAGAAACGUAAGUCCUCAGAAGUAGGCCGUUUGUGAGUCUUAACAAAAUAAGACAACGCUUGGCUAUUAGGAUGAAAGAAUUGGUAAAAAUAGGACAGAGUUUGAUGAAUGUCAGGGAGUGAGAGCGAGAUGUGGGUUGGAGUGUAAGAAUGUCCCAGUCAGGGUUAGACAAAUCUAGGCCCUUAAGGACUGCAGCUUUAGCUGACUCAUCAGUUCAGUUGUUUCCCUUGGAGACAAUAGAAUCAUCUAUUUGGUGGAAUCUGCAGUAGACAAUCCCAAUAACUAUGGGGAUAUGGGAGGCCUUUACCAUGGCCAUAAUUUGGUUUCCAUUAGUUACUGAUACUCUUUGUGGCAAGUAACCCAUGGUCCUUCCAGAUAGCAGUGUGGGACAGGAUGAUGUGGAAAGCAUAUUUGGAGUCUGUGUAGAUGUUGAGAAACUGUCCCUGUGCCAGUUGAAAGGCAAGGCAAGUGGGCUACUACUUCAGCCUGUUGAUUGGAAGUAUGAACAGGGAGGGUCUGUGCCUCAAUCACCUCUGUGUCUGAUAUUAUAGCAUAGCUAGAUCUUCUGGUCCCUUCAUGUAGAAAAGAGCUUCCAUCUGUACACCAAGUAUAGAUAGCCUGAGGCAAUGUGCCCUCCUGUAUGUGUGAAGGAUGAGGAAAUAGUUCCUCUAAGUUUUCAGUGCAGGAGUGAGUUAGGGAGUGGUUACUAUUUGAUCAAGAAAGAAAUUAGGAAAUAUUAAGAGGUGGGCAUGACUGGAGUGUGGGAGUAGAGUCUUCUAUUAGUGCUACCCGAAGAUAAAGAACUUCAGGACGGUGGUAGAAUGUGUAAACAUUUGUAUGUUAGAAGCUGUGAGAGAUUAUGAGAAGAGAAUAUGAUUAUGGCCGACCCAAAGUUUAGUUUUUUUGACUCUGGAAUAAGGAGUUCAGUGGCUUGAAAAACCUGGGUAACAGGUUUGAGAAGAAAUUUCUAGGUGGGACCUAACACUGCUUCAUAUAAGGGGUGAGAAAGGAGAGAAAAGGAAGGAACCCAGGAAUAUAUUAAAAACAAACAAACAAAAAACCAACCUGGCUAUUCCUAGGAAUGAUAAAAUAUCUUCCUUUGUAGAAGGAACAGUUAGAGAAUGGAUCAGAAUCUUUCUAUCUAGGGUAAUAGCUUUUUAGGUUGGGGUAAUUGUUCGUCCCAAAUAGAUGACCAAAGGACUGGACUUUAGAAGGUGAGACCCUGUAACCUUUACUGAAAAUGAAAUUCAGAAGAGCAGAGGUGUCAGUUUGGCAAAUUUUUUGAGAGGGGUUACACAGAAGAAUGCAAUCUAUAUAGUGGACAGUCCUAGAUUUAGGGAGAGAAAGAGAGAAGGUAAUUCAGAAACCAGGGCCUGGCCAAAUUGGUGUGGGCUGUGCUGGAAUCUCUGAGGUAGAACAGUCCAGGUAAGUUGUGUAGAAAAGUGGGUGUCAGGAUCUGUUCAGGAAAAGGCAAAUAUGUUCUGUGACUGGGUAUCUAGAGGGAUAGAGAAAGUAGCAUCCGGAGAUCUAAGAUUGAGAAAUGAGAAUUCCCCAAGGGGAUAGUGGGAAGAAGUGUAUAAGGAUUAGCCACAACAGGAUGUACAGGAACUAUGGCAGAAUUAAUGGACCUGAGGUUUUGAACCAGGAGAUAGGUUCCACUAAGUUUCCUAACUGCUAAUGUAGGGGUUUUAAAGGGGGAAGAGGUAGGGCAAAGGAGGUUUUUCCUUAAGAGAUCAGAGGUGAUAUACUUAAGGCCCCUGAGGCUCUGGAGUGAAAGCAGGUAUUGAGGUUGGGUGAUGUACCUGGUAGAAUUCAGUAAUUGCUUGACAACAGGAGAAUGUUUAGCAGCAGAGGGGUUCUGGACAUCCCUGACAAGGAGGUCUACUUGAGAAGCUGCUCAGCUCACCCUGUCAAGUGGGAGACUUCACAAUCUGUCACCCAGGAAGAGAGAGAAAGGGCCAGAAGUCAACUUGCAUUAGAAAAUGUGCUAUUACCAAGAAGCAUGUCACCAAGACAACCGAAUAGAACUGUCCAGAGUAUGUCCUUCUGCAGAAAUAUCAAUUGAGACAACUAUCCAGGCAUGAAAUACCUUCAUAAGAACUAAACAAAACAGAGAGUUGUGGCAAAAAAAGACACACUCAACCAAGAGUUGCGAUGAAAGCAAUGUGUCACAUGAAUUGCCAAUACUUACACUAGUUAAAAGAAGAAAGAAACAAAAGAAAAUAGAGCAUCAUUAUAUAAAAGAGUCAACUUAUCAAGCAGAACCAUCCCUUUAUUCUUCUUCUUUCCCCUACAAUGAAGUGAUUCUUUACAACAUCCUGUGCUCCUUUUAAAGCCCAUUGGUUCCUUGUGGUGCUGUCAGAAUGUACAUGAGGAACGUCUACUGAAGAAAGGAAAGCCUCUCAGAAGCCAAAUACCUGAAGAAAACUCACUCUGCCUCUCAUAAGAAUCCAUCAGUGGCCAAUAUCACCUCAGUGUUUCCACAGGACGUAUCCCAGAUGAUUGAGUCGGGGGAAAGUCUACAAAAGUUUGGAUGUUGAUUAUUUCCUAAUAUCCCAGAAAUGAGAGGAAAGCCUAAACAUGAUCUAGGAUUAAGGAUACCAGCUUUUGCAGAAGAACUAAAACAACUACCCAUGUCUAAACAAGCAACUACUAGACUCUUGGGCUUCCCAUUCACAACUGCCCAUUGUUGGGUUAGCUGGACUACUGACUAGUCACCAGCCAACAAACAGGCAUUAAAUUCACCAUCCUAAGGAAAUUAUUCAUACUCAAAACAUAACAGCCAAAAGUCAUGCACUUGAAGACUUCUGUCUCUACUCCUCUAUUCUACGGAUAAAGUGAAACCAUAACUUUCAGGAAAAGAAAACAUGAGAAUGUAGAUUACAAAAGUCGGAACUGACAAAAUACAUAAAGACCAUGGGAUGGAAUUUACAUUUUGAGGAUGGCAGAGUAAUGAAUCAGAAAGAGCCUUUGACACCAACGACUCACAGGAAGUCCCAACAUGUCUCCUUAAUAUCUUCAUAGUGGUCAUAUCAUUUGAAUAUGAAGAAGAAAAAGAGCAGGUGGAGCCUGACAAGAUCUUCCUGGCUGUUGACCUGCGCAGCUGGAGAAAUCACUAUUGCAGCACAGCUGGACCUGUGGGUUGUGAGAGCUGUGGCUUCGACUUUUACAGAAAAGAUUCUGCUGAAGAGAAUGAGAAGGAAGAGCAUACAUGGCCAAGAACCUGCAGGGUAUAAAAGACCCCAGCACCCAGAUGGAAAGGUGGAGCCCACCCUCUCCCAAAAUACUUCAUUUCUCCAAAAAAAAGAGAAGUCAAUGGGAGAUAUGAAGCCUGAACUAACCAUGCAAGGAUCCCCAGGUUGUGACUAUGACACCAACCCAGUCACAAAACCUUCAACUUACAUUUGUUCUGCCUGGAAAAUGAACUAGGGUAAUGGUGACUCUCAGAAGACCGGAGCAUGUUGUACUCUGAGAGGCUCUACCCAGCAGCUGACUCAGACAGAUGCAGACACCCACAUCCAAACAGUGGAUGCAGCUUGUGGACUCUUAUGAAAGAAUAAUUGGAGGGAUUGUGAGACUGAAGAGGAUGGGACUCCACAGAAACACCAACAGAGUCAACUCACCUGGACCCUUGGGGCUCUGUGUCUGAACCACCAGCCAAAGAACAUACACUGCCUGGACCUAGGCCUCCUUGCACAUAGGUAGCAAAUGUGCUGCUUGGUCUUCAUGUGGAUCCUAAACAAGUGGAGCAGGGCCUAUCCCCAAAGCUGUUGCCCAUAUAUGGGAUAAGUCCUUUAGCUGGGCUACCUUGUCUGGCCUCAGUGGAAGAGGAAGUGUUUAGCCUAGCAGAGAUUUGAAAUGCCAAGGUUGGGGGAUACUGAGGGGCCACACCCUCUCAGAGGAGAAGGCAAGGGGAAAUUGGGGAAGGAUUAUGGGAAGGAGUGUCCUGUAGAAGAACAAUGAGCAGGAUGUAAAGUGAGUAAGUAAAAUAAAAUAAAAUUAAACUUAAAAAAAGAAAA